UCGUUAGUGGAGAAAAGGUGACUGGAGUCUGGCUGCCCUGACGCCCAGGCCCCUGCUCUGCCAGGCUGGCAAGGUGCUGCUGCCGCCAGGGCAAGUGCCGGUCUUCCAUCUGGUGACGAACCCGGCAGGCACGGCCGGCGUGUGAAGGCGCGCUGUCAGAACAGGAGGGUUUUCUCUGAUGACCUUAGAGAAAGGCAAUCAGCCAGGAGGAAAAAAGUCUUCCCACCAAACUCCAUUUGAGAGAAUAAAGAUCUCCUUUAAGAUGACGAGAAAGGACAGAAUACUUAAAAAUAAUAUUUUAUUUAAAAUAAGGCUGGGUUAAAAAUGUGAAAAGCUAGAAAGGCUGUUCAAAACCAGCAGGGCAGUUAGUUGUUGAAGUAGUCAGUGAUGCCAAUGUGAUAUUUUAAAAUGCUCCUGGAUCAUUUAAAAUGCCCCAAUAAGCUAUUAGAAUAAACUUAGGUUGCAUCUGGCCUGAAUCAGAGUUUCCUCCUGAGAUCAGUAAGCUGCAUCUCUCUAACCAAAAAGCAGAAAGCCGUAGGAGUUUUCAGGAAAUGACAGUUCAAUGGGUUAACGCUAAGUAACCCAUCUCCUCUCAACCAAAGAGCUCCUUGUAUUUAGAAAAAAAAAAAAAAAGAACCCUCCCCUACCGUAAAGCCAAGCUCUUGAGACACAGUGCUUCGCGUUUGUAUCCUUUCAAAAUGACAUCUAAACUUUUCUUGUCUGUAUGGAGGACUCUUGUGCCCCACUUGACAGCCAGUUUCUCGUCUUCUGAAAUGGAGCACAUCCGCCCACCUCUCUGCUGGCCCCGAGAGGACACCAGGGGUCGGGGCGAAGCCGAGCCCCGUGUCCUGGGCCGCCUCAAACCUUUAAAGACUGGGGCAGCGGGCGUGGCUGCUUACAAGGUAAAUCCCUACCACAGCAGGCGGACGCCAGGAUUUUAUUUUUCUCGUUUUCGGGGUGGAGGGGCCCAGCUGCAGGAUGCCUUUCUUGGAAGUUCAUCUACCAAAGAACUGAAAGGAUGGCGCGCGAUAUUCACCUCUGGAUGCAGCUGUGCACCUGCUGUGCAAACUGGACCCUGGACCCAGGUCUGUCCCACACUUGGGCUGAUGCACCAUGACCUCACGCUUCCUGCUAGCUCCCACUCUCAGUGUCGGCUGAAGUCUGACAUGAAGGUCCAUUGUCAAUCAAUUUUCAUUGGAAUUGUUAAAAUUUCCUUGCAUCUGUAUCUGAGUUGUUGUAAGUUGAAUCAUGUCCCCCAAAAUUCAAAUGUUGCGUUCCUAACCCCUGGUACCUCAGAAGGUGACUGUGUUUGGAGAUGAGGUCUUUGUAGAGGUGACUAAUGUAAAGUGAGGUCAUUUGGACGGGCCCUAACCCUGUGUGACUGGUGUUCCUGUGAGGAGAGGAGAUGAGGACACAGACAUGCGCAGAGGGACGGCCACGCAAAGACACAGGGAGAAGACAGCUGUCCGCACUCCAAGGAGGGAGGCCUCAGAAGAAACCAGUCCUGCCGAUGCCUUGAUGUCAGACCUCCAGCCUCCAGAGUUGUGAGAAAGUACAUUCCCAUCAUUGAAGGCCCUCAGUCUUUUGUGCCGUUACAGUAGUGCCAGCAGACUAACCCAGGUG
rnacentral:lncRNA from 1 species